CCUACGGGAGGCAGCAGUGGGGAAUAUUGCACAAUGGGCGAAAGCCUGAUGCAGCAAAGUCGCGUGAGCGAUGAAGGCCUUCGGGUCGGAAAGCUCUGUCCUCAAGGGAGCUAAUGACGGUACUUUAGGAGGAAGCCCCGGCUAACUACGUGCCAGCAGCCGCGGUAAUAGGUAGGGGGCGAGCGUUAUCAGGAUUUACUGGGCGUAAAGGGUGCGUAGGGGGGUUCUUAAGUCAGAGGUGAAAGGCUAAGGCUCAACCGUAGUAAGCCGUUGAAACUGGGGAACUUGAGUGCAGGAGAGGAGAGUGGAAUUCCUAGUGUAGCGGUGAAAUGCGUAGAUAUUAGGCGGAACCCCAGUUGCGAAGGCGGCGCUCUGGACUGUAACUGACACUGAGGCACGAAAGCGUGGGGAGCAAACAGGAUUAGAUACCCGAGUAGUC
rnacentral:rRNA from 1 species